GGCUCCAUAGUGUAGUGGUUAGCACUUCUGCUUUACAUGAAGAAGGUCCUGGGUUCACGCUCCAGGUGGAGCCA
rnacentral:tRNA from 1 species